GGGAAGGCUGGGCCAAUUUCACAUGGUGCAUCAUCUCCAAGCACCUUAUUACGGGUAAUCUUCUUUAUCUGUAAGGGUUAGGUGGGAGCGGGGUUAAGUUAUUUAUUUAUUUUUUUAUAAAAAAAUUUGGGUCUUAUAAUUUUCUUUUAAAUCUGGUGGUGAAAGAAAAAUGGAAAUUGGCAAGUAAAAGAAUAUUGAGUAGUGCAACAAAAAUGCUGCAUCAAGAUUUGUUAGUAAAAUCAAUCACAAUCCGAUGUCGUGGAAUCUUAAGCAUCAACGGAAUUCAAGUGAUUGACACUUGAGCAGUAGACCAUGCUUUUUAUGGAUUGAGACACUCAAUUUUUCCUCCAGUACAAAAGCCGGGUACCCAGCCAGAUAACUCACAAACGGUGUUCCCCCCGAAUAAAAAUGGCCAAAAAUUAAACCCCUUAUGGUGUAUUAUCUGUAAAGCCCCUGUGAAGCACUCUCAGUACGUCUAGCAUGGCUCGAGACAAUUGUUUGCGCCUCGACCCUGCAUUUUGAAACCUGCUCCUCAGAUUGAGUUUAGGAAUGAUUUUCUUGCUUAGCUUCCUUUGGUUGUCUCACUNNN
rnacentral:lncRNA from 1 species